CUCAGUUUCAGUAAGUUCACUACUCACAAUGACUGGAAAAGUUCCAUUAGGACCAAGAAAUGCAUACCUUACACCAUUGGGGAGAGGUUUAAGCUCCACUUUAGGCGCCUUAAGCUCGCUCCAGUCGUCUUGCCGGGUGUCCCCUUGUUGAAUGACCGAGGCUUCCUAAUGGACAAUUUGUGGCAGCUCCUCAUACUGAUCCUUACUACCAAAUCCUCUGUGUGAAUCCAACAUCAUCCCAUAGGCAGCACUCUCCAGGUUCUGAAUCACUUCAGCUGGCCUCUCUAUCGUCAAAGCAUGCUGUAGAGGGUCUUCUAGUGACAAUUCUUCAAGGAGCUCAUCAGCAAGGGCAUCCAUCUCUUCAAUGUAGAAAACUUGCCCUUGAACUGUUGGUUUCUUCAUUACCUCCUUGAUGUCAAAGUGAAGAACAUGCCCUUUACCCAAGUGGAGAUCAAUCUUGCCCUCUUUCACAUUAACAAUUGCUCCUGAUGUAGCUAAGAAAGGCCUUCCAAGGAUUAAAGGAUCUGCAGCUUCCUCACCCAUCUCAAGCACCACAAAUUCUGUAGGGAUCUCAUAUUUUCCAACCAUAACGGGGAGGUCCUCCAAGAUACCCACAGGGUACUUCACUGAACGAUCAGCCAAUACCAGAGACAGUCUACACUUCUUGUACUGAGUGAAACCAAGCAUCUUAGCAACAGAUAAAUGCAUCAAGCUGACACUAGCUCCCAAAUCGCAGAGACAUCUAUCAAAUACCAUAGGUCCAAGAGCACAAGGUAAUGUGAAGCAUCUUGGAUCUUCUAGCUUCUUUGGAACAACAAGCCUCUGGAUGAUGGCACUGCACUCAUGAGUGAGAAUCAUCAUGCCCUCCAUCUCCUUCUUCUUUGCAGCUACAACAUCUUUCAGGAACUUGCUAUAUUGAGGAAUCAGCAUGAAAGCAUCAAUGAUGGGCAUUGUGACUUAAACUUCACUCAUUUGCUUCUCAAAUAGAGCUUUGUACUUCGCUAGCAGCUGCCUCUUGAAUCUACCAGGGAAUGAUAGUUUGGGUUCAUAGGGAGGAGGAACAAAAGAAUUCUCACUUGCUGGAGCAACAACUUCACCAUCUUUCACUGUUUUCUUCUCUUCCCCAACCUUUCCUUUACCUUUUGCUUCCACAAUCUUCUCCAAGAUUUCAUCAUUGAUUUUCUCAUCAACAAUCACCACUUCAUCAUCUAUGUUGAUGGCAACCCCCUCACCUUGUUUCUCAGCAUCCUUGGUGAGAGCUUUCUGAGGUAACUCCUUACCACUCCUGAGGGUGAUAGCUUUCAUGGUUUCCUUGGGGUUUUGCUCAGAUUUUCCAGGUAAAGAACCUUGUUGGUGAUUUUGUUGAGUGUUCAUGGCAGCAAACUGGUUCUCCAAAGUUCUGAACUUGUUGUUGAGCUCAUUGUAUCUUCCAUCAAUCUUUGAGUGAAGGUUCUUCAACUCAUAGCCAACAUGCUUCUCAGUUCUUGUCUGAGACUCCAAGAUUUGUUUUAGUAGGUCAUCAGUGCUGCUGACUUGAGGAGUAGAGGUAGAAGUAGUAGGUUGUUGUUGGGCAGGUUGUUGUCCUUUGUUGUUGAAACCAGGAGGAGGGUUUUGUUGAGGCUGAUAGCUGCCUUGCUGGUUGUUCCGAGGCUGAUAACCACUCUAUUGGUUGUUGGAGUAAGAUCUCUGUUGGUAGUUGUUGUACUGAAAGUUUGACUCUUUCUUGUACCGGCUACCAUUGUUGUUGAUGAAGCACAGCUCUUCUUGCCCUUCCAAACCAUCAACUUCCUGGACAACAGGUGUGGCUUCUUUGUUUGGGUUACCAACAAAGUGCAGCUGCUCCUGGGUGGUCUUAUCAGCAAUGAGAAUAUCAAUCUUAUCCUGGAGAGCCUUUAACUCCUUCCUCGUCUGCUUGUCAUCUGUUCUACUGCCUCUGUCGUGGUCUCCACUGUAGACUGCAUCACUCUUGACCAUGUUGUCUACCAACUGCUCUGCAUCCUCCUCUGUUCUUCCCAAGAAGAACCCAUUGCUAGCUGUAUCCAAUCUGACUCUGUACUUAGGAAGAGCUCCUCUGUAGAAUGUGCUCAGCAGGCUUUCCUUAGAGAAUCCAUGAUGAGGGCAUUGAGCUUGGUAGCCUUUGAAUCUCUCAUGGGCUUCACUGAAUCCUUCCAAGCCUUUCUGUUUAAAGCUGGAGAUCUCAUUUCUCAGCUUAGCAGUUCUUGAAGUAGAGAAGAACUUCUCCAAGAAAGCUUUCUUGUAGUCAUCCCAAGUGGUGAUUGAGUCGCUUGGUAGAGAUUUCUCCCACUGUCGUGCCUUAUCCCCAAGUGAGAAAGGGAAUAACUUCAGCUUUAAGGCAUCCUCAGACACAUCAUUGGUUUUUGACAACCCACAGUAGCUGUUGAACAUGUCCAAGUGAUCAAAUGGGUCCUCUAGAGCCAAGCCAUGAUACUUGUUGUUAUCGAUCACGUUGAGGAGUCCUGAUUUGAUCUCAAAGUUGUUGGCUGCUACAGCUGGUGCUCGGAUUCCCAAUCUAUGACCAUGAAUGUUGGGGCGGUCAUAAGUGCCAAUGGGUCGAGCUGCUCACUGUUGGUUUUGUGGAACGUUGUUGGCAUCAUUUUGAGGUAUGUCUCCCAUAUCAGUAUCCAAUCUCUGCAAGUGAGACUGUUGCUCUUCUUCUCUUCUCUUUCUAGCACACUCUCUCUCUAAAGCUCUAAUGUCUGCAGCUCUUGGAACUAGGUUUGAUGGACCCCUGCUCCUCAAGUUCAUACACAUGUAAAUUAAAGGGAGGUGAAGAAGGAGAAUCAGUAACAAAAGAAAAUAAAAAUGACUUAGUCUCAAGCAAAUGACUAAAUCUCAAUGUUCAAAUCUACUCAGAAUUUGGCAACGGCGCCAAUUUGAUGUUAGUAGUUUUCAAGGCUCCUAAGACAAAUGUUGUAGUAUAAAUGAUUGUCGAACCAAUUCUAAGGGAUUUCAAGCACUGAGAAUGCAAGUACUUAAUUAAUCUAAGUGCAACCGAUGAUUUAAAGGGCUUUCUCAACUAAUGAUUAAUACUAAUGCAGUUUCAGAAUAAUAAAAACGGUAAAUGAGUUGACUUUCUUAACUAAGGAAAAUGAGAACUCAUGGACAUAGGAAUUAGACCUUGGGUGAUCAAGUUUCGAACUAAGGAUGGCAGAAGAACAAUCAAACUAUCAACCUUAAGCUUAGACACGAUCCUAAACAAACUCUAUGUCUAGAUGAAUGUUCAUUUACUAACACAUUUCAAACAACAAAUAUCUUUGGUUGAAUAAUAUGGAAGCAAUCAUUACUAACAGGUCUAAGGCUAUCUUAGCACUUCUAACAACAAAUGUCUUUGGCAAAAUAUGCUAAAAGCUUAGAAGAGUUGUUUCAGGCAUUUCAUCGAACACCUUUUGGGUGGGAAAUGCCUUUUUUUUUUUGAAACUCUAAAUUUUUUUUUUUUGAAACUCUAGGUGGGAAAUGCCUAAAGAUCAACUUUUGAGAAGCUAACUCAGAAGAUGCAUUAUGAUUACUCUACUAGCAAGGUUUUGGAAUGAUAUACUCUAAAACAUACUAGCUCUAACCUAAUCACCCUUAGUCAUCCUAACCCAUGAAUUCAAAUGGUGAUUACUCACUACUCUUCGUGAUUCUUCUUAAACCCAUUUUGGAUUUCAGAUUAAUCAUACAGAGGGAUACAACAACGAAUUGGAAACACCGAAUUGCAAUAACUAGAUGAACAAAGAUGAUUCAAGAGAUGAACUUUCCAAAGGUUUUUCUUUAGAACAAAAGAUAAUCUGUCUGGUGGCUGCUAAAGGUACUUAAAACAUAGGUUUUCAAAAGUAAAAACGUGCAUAAUGAAAUGACCAAAAGACCCUUAGAAAACAUGAAUUCGGCCAAACAAAUAGACGCGGAGCGACCUCGGCACGUCACUCCAACAAGUCGCUCCGGGCUUCGGGAGCGACCUCAGUGGGUCACUCUGAGAGGUCGCUCUGGCUCCAUUGUGUUGUCGUCACGCGAUAGACAUGCGAGCGACCUCGGGGUGUCACUCUGGCCAAGUCGCUCUGGGUCGGGAGCGACCUGGAGUGGUCGCUCUGAUAGGUCGCUCCGGGUCAGUUCUCGGCUUCCACCGGGAUGAGAUGGCGAUCGACUUCUCGGGGUCGCUCCAGCGAGGUCACUCUGAGAGGUAGUUUGGAGCGACCUCAUGGCGUCGCUCCGUGAUGUCGUUCUCAUGCUCUGCUCGUCCAAUGAUCACCUAGAGCACUUCUUUUGAGCUCAAAAUGCACCCAAAUGACUCCAAGAACACCAUGUGGUACUCCAACACCUGAUAAAGACUCAUGUAUGCAAAAUGCAACCUAAACGUGGUUAAAUCCUAGUCUAUAUGAUCAAAAUGCACAUGGGUGAAUGAAUAAGACAAUGGAAAUAUGCAAGAUAUCAAGUAUCAAAAAUAAAAGAAUAUCAGGAAGGUUUCUAAGCUUUACAGGUACGCCACUGCCUCACAAAAACUCUUUGUAUUACCGGGUUAGCAGUGUUGGAGCAAAUUGAUCAUGAAGAGAAGGUAACCGUUGGAUUGAAUAAAGGCUUCACAGCCGUUGGAUUAGCUAAGUUUGAUUGGGUCUUUGUUCCUGUUUAGAGUCAAUAAUGAGACCGAAUAUUUAGGCUCACGUCUGUUGCUCUGUUUCCACUAGCGCAAGUUUCGUUUCAUCUCGUUUCUACUUGUUAUUGUAAGGCUAUUUAACGCCAUGAUCUCCUAUUGAAUGAAGUACGUUUUCAGCAUUCUAAACAAAGAGCUUUCAUACUUUUACAGAUUGGUAUCAGAGCUCCGUUAGCGUGUGAAAACUGAGAGAGAAGAAGCCGUAGCUUCAAAACACAAGAGUGAAAAAUGGGAGAUGAGAAAAUGAAGUUGCCACAGUUCGAUGGGCAUUGGGAUCAUUGGAGUGAGGUCAUGGAGAAUUUCUUCAGAUCAAAGGGCCUGUGGAGUACGAUUGAGACCGGUUUCGAGGAGUCAUCAUCCUCAACGGUGCUCACGGCGGAGCAUGCACAGCAGCUGGAAGAAACCAAGAAAGAUGACCAUAAGGUGAAGCACUACGUCUAUCAAUCCAUUGAUAGAGUGACCUUUGAGCAGAUCUUGGAUAGGAGAACCUCCAAGAUCAUUUGGGAGUCAAUGAAGAGGAAGUUCGGUGGGAACGAUCGGGUGAAGAAGUCCCUGCUGCAGAAGCUGAGAAGAGACUUCGAGGUUCUGGAGAUGAAGGAAUCUGAGAGUGCGAAAAAGUAUUUCACAAGAGUACUGGCGGUCACCAACCAGAUGAGAAGCAAUGGUGAUAUCAUGAAUGAUUCCAAAGUGGUGGAGAAGAUCCUCAGGACUCUCAGCGAAAAAUUUAUGCAUGUAGUGGUGUCCAUUGAGGAAUCUAAGGAGAUUGAAAACAUCCAUCUCGAUGAACUUUAGAGCUCUCUCACCGUUCAUGAGCAAAAGUUCAAGAAGGUUGACAAAGCUGAUGAUCAAGUCUUGAAAGUAACCCAUGGUGGAAGUGGUUCAUACCGUGGGAGAGGAUUGACGUCAAGAGGAAGAGGCUUCAAUGGAAGAGGUAGAGGAAGAGGCCGUGGAAGAGACAAGAGCACGGUGGAGUGCUACAAAUGUCACCGUCUAGGGCACUUUCAAAAUGAGUGUCCAAUGUGGGAUGAAGAAGCAAACUAUGCUGACUUUGAUGAGAAGGAAGAGAUGCUACUAAUUGCAUAUAUUGAAGAGGAAGAUGAGGAGAUCGACGUGAAGUUUGAGGAAAAUGCAGAGAAGAUGUUAAUGGCGUAUGCUGGGAAGAACGAGAACAUGAGGAAGAGAACAUGAUUCCUCGACUCUGGUUGUUCCAAUCACAUGAGUGGAAAUCGAGACCUAUUCUCUCAGAUGAAUGAAAGCUUCAAACACACUGUGAAGCUGGGGGACGACAAAAAGAUGGAGGUUAUUGGCAAAGGCAAUGUGAAGCUGGUGCUGAACAUUGUAGCUUACACAAUCAGUGAUGUGUACAUACCAGAACUCAAAAACAAUUUGUUGAGUCUCGGACAACUUCAAGAGAAGGAGCUGACGAUUAUCAUACAGAAAGGAGUUUGUAAGAUCUUUCAUGAAGAAAUAGGUCUUAUCGCAGUAAGCAAGAUGAGCUCCAACAGAAUGUUCAAGUUGCUUGAUCAGACCGGAGAGACAAGCCAACAACGUUGUCUACAAACGACCACAGAGGACACACCAAAGCUUUGGCAUGAGUGUUAUGGGCAUCUCAGCCACACUGGUAUGAAGACGUUACAGAGCAAGGAGAUGGUGAGAGGCUUGCCAAACUUUGACGUCCAGAAGUCACCUGCUCAGACUGUCUAGUAGGGAAACAGUCAAGGAAUCUGAUACCCAAGAAGAGUUCAUGGAGAGCUACAGGAAUCCUUGAGUUGGUGCAUUCUGGCAUAUGCAGACCUAUCAGUCCAGUAACCACAAGUGGUGUCAGAUAUGUUCUAUGCUUUAUAGAUGAUCACAGCAGGAAAGCAUGGGCGUAUUUUCUGAAAGAAAAAUCAGAGGCAUUCAAUUACUUUAAGGAGUUCAAAAAGAGGGUGGAGACUGAGACAGGGAAACUGAUCAAAUGCUUGAAAACGGACCUUGGAGAGGAAUACACAUCAACUGAGUUCUCUGAGUUCUGCAAGGAACAUGGAAUUCGAAGACAACUCACCACUGCCUACACUCCACAGCAGAACGGAGUGGCGGAGAGCAAGAAUCGCACUGUUAUGAACAUGGUGAGAUCCAUGUUAUCAAUGAGAAAGGUACCAAGAAUCUUCUGGGCAGAAGCUGUCAAUUGGACCUUAUACAUUCUGAACAGAUGUCCCACUCUCGCUGUUAAGAAUGUCACACCACAAGAGGCUUGGGGAGGAGUCAAACCAAGCAUGGAACACUUAAGAGUGUGGGGAUGCUUAGCACAUGCGCAUGUACCAAAUGAGAAGCGAAGGAAGCUUGAUGACAAAAGCAUCAAAUGUGUGUUGUUGGGUUUCUCAGAAGAAUCAAAGGGCUAUCGCUUAUACAACACAUCAACCAAGAAGAUUGUGGUGAGCAGGGAUGUGGUAUUUGAGGAAACAAAAGGUUGGAACUGGAAUGAGAAUCAAGAGAACAUCGAGACUUAGCUGAAGUGGAACGAUGAUGAUCUACCUUGGGGUGAAAGUGAUAGUGACGGAGAAGAAGAAGUUGGAGGACCAGUGACUGUUGCAGAGGAUACUCAAGAAGAACCGCAAGCAACAGUCAGGGAGGGAAGAAGACAGACGAGGCCUCCUAGCUAUCUCAGAGAUUAUGUCACGUACGUCACUGAAAAUGAAGCAUUUGGUGAGGACGAUGAGGUAAACAUGGUUCAGAUCAACUCCUCUGAUCCAUCCACUUUUACAGAUGCUCAGAUGUGCAUCAACUGGAGAGAGGCCAUGGAUGCAGAGGUAGACUCGAUUGAGAAGAAUCACACCUGGGAGCUAUCAGACUUACCGUAUGGAGCAAAGUGCAUUGGAGUGAAAUGGAUAUACAAGACAAAGUUAAACGAGCUUGGAGAGGUGAGCAAGUACAAAGCUAGGCUGGUGGCAAAAGGAUAUGCACUGGAACAUGAAGUUGAUUAUACAGAAGUCUAUGCACCUGUCGCACGCAUGGACACCAUCAGAACCAUUGUCUCAACCGCAGCUCAGAAAGGAUGGGAUAUCUUUCAGCUCGACGUCAAGUCAGCCUUCCUUCACGGAGUACUUGCAGAAGACGUCUAUGUUCAGCAACCAGAAGGGUAUGAGAUAGAUGGAAAGGAAGAGAAGGUUUACAAGCUGCACAAAGCCUUAUAUGGGUUGAAACAAGCCCCACGGUCUUGGUUCAGUAGGAUCGAGGAGUAUUUUGCCAAAGAAGGGUUCAAGAAGUCUGAGAAUGAAGAAACUCUGUUCAUCAAAAGAAACUAGCAAGGUAAUCUCCUCAUCGUUAGCGUAUACGUAGAUGACUUGAUAUACACUGGAGAUGAUGUAUCGAUGAUGAAAGAGUUUAAGUUGUCAAUGGAGAAGGAAUUUGAUAUGUGUGAUCUUGGAAAGAUGAGAUACUUUCUAGGCAUAGAAAUAUUGCAGACAAGUCAAGGGAUUCAUAUGUCUCAGACAAAAUAUGCCAUGAAGGUCUUGAAACGUUUUGAUAUGGAAGACUGUGACGGAGUUCGCAAUCCAAUGGUGUCUGGAAGCAAGGUUGACAUGGAUGAGAAUGGAGAAAGGAUUGAUGAGACUUUCUACAAGCAGAUCAUUGGAAGUCUCAUGUACAUCACAACGACGAGACCAGACCUGCAGUUUGCUGUAAGCUUACUGAGUCGCUACAUGUCUAAACCAACAAAGCUGCAUCUUCAGGCUGCCAAGAGGGUUCUACGGUACUAAAGAGGCACGAUGGACUAUGGGAUUUGGUACAAGAGAGGAGGAGCUGGAGAGUUACUGGUGUAUACUGAUAGUGACUUUGCAGGUGACAUCGAUAGCAGGAAGAGUACCUCGGGCUAUGUAUUGCUUAUGGACAAUGCGGUUGUAGCAUGGUUAUCAAAGAAGCAGCCGAUCGUUACACUAUCCACGACAGAGGCGGAGUAUGUUGCAGCAUCGGUUUGUGCUUGUCAAGUUAUAUGGUUCAAAAGGAUCUUGGGAGAGUUGGGGUACAAUGUGGAUGGAAGCACUGUCAUCUACUGCGACAACACCUCAACUAUAAAGCUUUCAAAGAAUCCCGUCUUUCAUGGAAGAUGCAAGCACAUAGGAGUUCGUUUCCAUUUCCUACGCAACAUGGUGAAGGAUGAAGAGAUACAGUUGGAGCAUUGUGGUUCAGCUGAGCAAGUGGCCGAUAUCUUUACAAAACCGUUGAAGCUAGAGACGUUUGAGAGAUUAAGGAGUCAGCUUGGAAUUUGCUCAGUGACAGAUAAGCUAAGUUUGGUUCACCAAGUUUAGUUUAGGGAGGGUUUGUUGGAGCAAAUUGAUCAUGAAGAGAAGGUAACCGUUGGAUUGAAUAAAGGCUCCACAGCCGUUGGAUUAGCUAAGUUUGAUUGGGUCUUUGUUUCUGUUUAGAGUCAAUAACGAGACCGAGUAUUAAGCUCACGUCUGUUACUCUGUUUCCACUAGCGCAAGUUUCGUUUCAUCUGGUUUCUACUUGUUAUUGUAAGGCUAUUUAACGCCAUGAUCUCCUAUUGAAUGAAGUACGUUUUCAGCAUUCUAAACAAAGAGUUUCAUACUAUUACAGUUAGCAGCACAACCAAAAAUUCUCUCCUCGAAUUUGGAAGCAAUUCUCCUAAGCUCUUUAAUUUCUUCUGGUCCAGAAUAUGGAAGCUGCUUCCUUAUUGUUUCCAUUCUGUGCAACACACAAUGAUUGGUCAAUAAAAGUGAAAAGAAGAAAGAUACCACAAAAAAAAAAAAAAGAUAACACAAAGUUACAUCAACCAAAGUUAUAUCUUGCCGAUGAUCUUCUCGCGUGAAUCAGAUGGCAAUUGAGCUCUCCAGUCACAUGUGUCCAUGGCAGGCUCGCUUUUUGGAAAAGAAGGUGUCAAAUUGUUAUUAUCCAUCAAGUAACCUACAUUUACAAGCAAUGAAAAGCAGAGUAUGUAGAUUAAGUAGACUUAUCAUAAGUUCAUAACUAAAUGAAAACAGAGAAGAAACACAAACAAUGACCAAGAAUUUUACAGGAAACAAACUACCACACAGCAUAUGGAUUAUCUUUACACUCAGAACUUCUCAACGGAUUUAUAUGAAUUGAGUUUUUUACAGGAUAUGGAUGAUGAGUAUGAUCAGCACCUAGGUAUUACAACUUGUUAUUAAUAAAUAUCCGAUAUGAUCAGCACCAGUUUUAAUUAUCUAUUCUCGUAGAACACUUCACACAUUUCAUAAUUGUUAUUUAAAAAAGUAGAUCAUCCAUCGACAGAAACUUCAAUGGAGAGAAUACUUCUCUCGCAUCCAAUACCACAAGAGAAUAACAAAAUUUCAAUAAACGUCACCUCAAAUCCAGAAACCUAUGGACGAGAUUUGUGUGGGUGGUCAAGAUUUGCUACGAGCGGAGAGACAGGAACGAAAAUGGGGAAAAUUCAAGUUAAAACUAGGUUUAGUUAUUAAUCAGCCCAAACAAAAUAAGUUUAUAUAUUAUGGGCUUACUUACGUCAAAACUAAUUGGCACUUCACGUCUAUUCGAGACGAGAGGGUCAAACCAGCCACUUGUAACGUAAAAUAUCGUACGUCCAUUACUCCAUUAGACCUAUAUGCUAUGAAUCCUUUGAUUCUUUUCAUUUUCAAAUGCAAAGUUUUCUAACGGAGCGCAAACAUAGACAAAUCACAGAUAACUAAAAGACGAGCUUUUUUAGCCUAAAAGAAACCUCUUGGAGUAUCAAACUGAAUACAUUACCAAGAAAAAGUCAACGUGUAAUGAAAAUGAAAAGGAAGGUGGUGGGGGUGGGCAACAUAGCAGAAGAUGGAAAGUCCAAUGUUAAUUUAAAACAAACAAUAAAAUAAGAAACGUACCUAUAUAAUGGAUUAGUUAUCAAAUUACAUCUCAUCUUCUGAUAGCACAAAAGAGCGGAAAACACCAAGAGAGAAAGAGAGAAUUAAAGGAGGGCAAGAUCAAAAACUUGCUGCGACGUAAGAAUUAAUAUCCAUGAAAGAAAAGAAAAGAAAAAAAAGAGACUCAAAAACAAACAUUUAACUCGUCUCCACUGCCAUUAGAAUCCUUUUCCCCUUCCGCAAAGACAAUGACAGGGGAGGACAAUUAUCUAUUUGUAGACUUAUCCAUAUCAUAAAUAUAGUUACAGUUAUAGCGUAGUCUUGAACGUGUGUAGCUGACAAAAGAAUAUCCAUGUUUGAUGGCUGUGCUGUGGCUGGUUAUAUAUUAGCUGGUUCCACAGGGUUGUUAUCAAGGGGUAUGUUAAGGUCAGGCAGCAAAAACGAGGAGGACUCAUCAUUCUUUUGUGACUCAGCAGCCUGCACAUACAUAUGUACCAUCUGUUAAAGAUAUUUGUUACGUAUUUACUCAAAUAAGUGAUCAUGUUUACUAGGUUUUGUUUUAACCUGCUGGAUUUUCUUUAACGACUCGUUUCUUGCUCUUUGUUGCUUCAGCAUAUCGUGCAUACUUGCGAGUUCCUGAUUCACGCAACAAGUGUAAAAAAUGUUAAGAGGUUUUGGACUAUGCACUUGACGUUGAAAGAAGAUGGGAAAAGAGUUUUUUACAUUUUUGAGGCAUUUCUUUUCCUUUAAGAGCAAGCUCUCCUCCUCUUUAAGUUCAGCAAGCGUCUGUGGAGAGCCACAUACAGUGAUUAAACAUAAGACAUAAUAGUACGUAAUUAUGUGAUUCUACCAGAAUAGGAAAAUACUUAUUAUCUGGUUUGCUUACCUUUUUCUUUCUUGAUCUCUUGAAAGGGGUUGUUGUUGUUACACUCGUUUGAGAUAUCUGCAUGAAAACCCACCAAGAAGAUCAAUAGUGGCUUCUCGCAACAUAUCAAGUCCAGGCCACAUUUUAAACCAGUUCACAAUGACUUCGGAAAAUAAAGAGACAUGUUAUUCACAAGCCCAUAAUCAGCAUAUACCAAUUUUUGGUAUAGACCAUAAUCCCUAAAUUCGAAUCCAUCAUUUCAAGUUAUCAACUAGAGUGGAAGUGUAGUAAGAUGCACAAAUGAUACGAUUAAAGAAGAAUCUCUGCUACAUCUAAAGGAUGAUCAUAAAAAUAAAGUGGUCGAUCAGUAACAAAGAUAUCACAACUUAAAGGUCUAAACCAAAUCACUAAAUCUUAGACAUAUUAAAAAAAAAACAUUAAACGAAAGGAAUCUUAUUUCUUGGUCAACUUCUUACACCAAGAAAAAAAGCAAGUAUGAACAGAGGUGCCUCUUUUUCUCCUUACAUCGAGACACAACCAAUUCCAAAGGAAGAAUAGAAUCACGUGACUGGAGCGUGACUUUACGCGUGUCUUCCCUUGGCCACAAACCCCACACCUCUCCCUUGCCUCCCAUUGUCACGAAUUAUCCACAUAACCACAUGUCACUAUCACAUUCCUUUUCUUUCUUUUUAAUUACUUCUAACCCAAACUUGGUGACUUUAUGGCUUCUUCUACUUUGGUAAGUUCAUUCCAGCUUAAACCAUAUAGAAAAAAAAACUGCUAAAAAUUUUCAUUCAGAAAAAAGAAAACUGCUAAAUAGACGAGGCUGUCACCAAUAAUAUAAUCUCACAAUGAGAGGAACAGGGGUAAGUGAUUUUGACCAGACCAAAGGUGUUUUGGAUUGCAGUCAAAGUGUCGUGUGAGGAAGUUUUGACUUUUUAAAAUUCCACGUCAGCCUUAACCUAUGGGAGUUGCUAUGUGCUACGCCGCAUCUGAUUACACCAGACACGCACCAAACCCAUAGCCCAGACCUAAUUCGCCACGAAAACGCCUCUCGACCCAUAAAAGAGGCAACCCCUCAUUAUAAGCAAUUUUAAAUAACGCCAGGUCGCCAUCCAUAAUUACUCUUGUUGACCGAAUUAUCCCUGAGCAGGCUCUAUGACAAGGGGUAAUCUCGUCAAUCACGACCAGCUUCAGGAACCAAGAACAAGAAGCAUCGUGACGUGAACUUGAUAACCAAACAGGCAACUUCUAGAUGCGAGGAUCUUAUUGAAACUGACACUGGUAACGCAGAAAGCAAAAAAAAAAACCAGAGAACAUAUACUUUGAGUUUAGAAGAACGUGCGGCUUAGUACGGUAACUGAAGAAUAUAACGGUCAACGUAUAGUCGGAGUAUUAGAUCGAAGAGGGCCUAAAGGUUGCGUGAGAGGCAAAGAGACCGAUCCCGGAGAGAAAUGACGAAAAUGACCCUAAGAGAAACAUAGAAAAAAUGGGAGUAUUUGCGAUAAAAAAGGAAGACCGAGAUAACGUGAAGUCGGAUAUCGCCAAAAAAGAUAUGACUAGGCUUUAGGUAUUUAUACGGUAGCUAGUGUGGCUGUCCACCGGCGUUUGCCAGUCACGCAUCCCAAAUAGAGUAACGCAAGAGUUUCAAAAACUAGAGAGAAAAAUAACAAAGGGAUAUCGAAAUAUCCAAAACGAACCUUAGAUCUAAAGGCCUCUGACAGUUUCACGCCGCCGCUUGACUCCUCAACUCCAUUAACAGCAGGAGCACCGCUGCCUCCGCCUCCGCCACCGCUGAGAGAGGUAGCGGUGCCGUUCCAGGAAAGAGGCGUAGUGGGACUGGAACGCGUGUGAUCUCCCUUCUUUCUUGACGGUGUCGCCGCCUUGCUCCUCCGCUGUCGCACGUUCCAUUUCAGCUUAAGAUCGGACCCGCCGUUCUUCACAGGAGGAGGAGGCGGCUCAGCGUGGUGGAGGCAGAUCAGAGCCUCCGCCACCAAUGAAUCAUCACUCAUAGCCUCCUGAGUCCAGUCUCCGCCGGACAUAGCCUAGGUUUGGACCGUCCACCAAAUUAAGAGAGAGAAAGAGAUAAAAGAGAAAUGGUGGCGAAAAGUGGAGAAGAAGAAAAAUCUCCGUGGCACAUUAAAUGGGUGGAUUUUUAUAUAUAUGCAUUAGGAACGUUUUCACACACACAGUUAGAUAGAUUGAAAUUUUAUUUUGUCUUUUUAUUUUCUUUCUUGGUGGAUGUGGGACCCAUAGGAAUACUUACGUGGCAUCAUGGAGUCUUUGUGCUUCGUCUCCAAGCGAAAGUAGCGUCUGAACUUUACGCGCGAUGAGCGAGAUUGUUUUCUUAUUCCUUGCUUGACGGUUCGGUUACAUCCACUGUAUAUGCAGUUUCGGGAUAAUUUUGUGGACGUGUGAGGUCUUUCUUAUUGUCAUCACUUUCAUGCUUAGUAUGGAACUUCAUUGUAUAAGGUAUACAUAGACAGUAUAGUGUUAUAAUGCCAGUGUAGUAUAAGGUAUACAUAGACAGUACAUUGUAAUCUGAACUUAUUUUUCCUUUUACAGAGAUGUUUUAAAGUUUAAAUUAUGUAUUCUGACUCAAUGUGUUCUUCAACGUCGAUUUCGACAUAUGUAUGUUCUUUCGAACACGAACUCUAGGAUUACGAGUGAAGAUUUUCUUCGGGUUUCUUCUUUCCUUAGUCAUUUUUAUCUUUAGUAAUGUUUUAGUCAUGUUAGCUUAUCAGCUUACCGUCGAGUAUCACUCGGGAUAUAUAACCAAUUUUAAUUUUAAUAUAAACAUUCGGUGUUCAAAAAAAAAAAAUUAUGUAUACUGAGUUGUCCAAAAAGAAAAUUAUGUAUACACUGAUAUCUAUUCAUAUUUACUUUGUGUUGUAAAACGAAGGUUUGAGAACUGAAUGUUUCUAUCUAUCAUUAAUGAAUAAGUGUUCUCUUAUAUAGAGGAUUACAAGAUAAGUAAAAUGAAAGUAUCCAAAACCUAAACCCACUAGGAUUAGAAAAACUACUAAUACAUAAUAAGGGAAAGAUAACAAUUACAAGGAAAAGGAAAGAUGGUUUCCUUUUCUCCAAGCCACCUCUCUCUCUCUCUCUAGGUCGACUCUCUCUAGGUGUAUGGGCUGGUUAUGGACCGGGCCGGUUAUGGACAUCCACAAAUUGAUUUAUAACACUCCACCUUGGAUGCCAUAACCAUUCAGGGAUUGUAAUACGCUUAAUGUUACCUCAUUAAGACCUUAUCAUGAAAAACCCAGUGGGACAAAAACAUGAUGAAGGAAAAAGAGUACAACACGUACUACUCCCCCUGAUGUGGACCUCAGUGGAGGUUUCUUCAGUCUACGCAUCUUAUGCGUGAUCUUUUCUGAACGUGCAGGUAGGGAGUAAACAAAUCGGCCAAGUUCAUUACUGAACCGCAAUUGGAUUACUUUGACCUUUCCAGUCUCUUCUCAUGUCUUCUGACAUCGUGUGUGCAUGGUCAAGAAGUGGACCUUUUGCUGUCGAGUACUCUUAAUUAGGUCGGACAGACUAAACACACUGUGGACAAUAUAUACUGAGCAUGGUACUUAUGAACUUAUAGUCUCAGGUUGUAAACCGAUGUUCCGGUGUAUCUACUACACGGGUGUGUACCAAUGUCUCUGUCCAUAGAUCUUUCUUUAUUAUCAUCGACUAUGCACUAAUCUGAUCGAUCCAUAUUGAGUCAUAGACUUUUAUACAUGUUUAUAACUUGUCUCAUGAGUGUUCUAGAUCAAGAUGUGAUCAAUGAUUAUUGCUGUAAUGAGUUUUAUAAUCUCAUCAAGCUAUGGCUCUUCGGCCAAACACACUCAUGGAUCUCGAUCAGUAAUCUCUCCUGCAUUCGGUAAUGCUAUUGCAGUCUUUUAUUCAUACCUUGAUGGUGUCCCAUGACCUUUGUUGCCGUGGAUCAUACCACGCACCAGAAGAUCUAUUAGGUCAUGGACCUCGACUACACGAGCUUAUGGACGACAAUCAUGAUGGCUGAUCUCUCUUUUCCACUAGCCAUGAUCAAAGAAGAAGGGUCGGACACCUCUAGCCAGACAGAUUUAAUAAACAAUAUGUAUCAACCAAUUAACCUCUCUUUAGGCUGGUUUAGUAUAAAUUAAACACAAAGAAUUCAAAUCUCUUUUAUAAGUAUAUGUAUGGACUGAAUUUGGAUUGUCCUUAUACAAUUCCUUUAUAUAAUAUAUGCAGCUGCUUUGUUUCAGUCCAUGAACAACUUAGGAAUAAUGUUGUUCUUUAUCCAUGAACAGCUUAGGAACAAUGUUGUUCUUUAUCCAGUGAUCCAUAUGCUGCUUACUACAUCUUUGUAUCUAAUUUCUUUCUUAUGACCAGACCUUUGUCAAUUUCGAAAAUAUGUAGCAGCAUCCACUACAUAGGAGUUUAUCUCCUUAUAAUAUGUUCCUUUGGUCUCUGUGAGUUUCCUUGUGUAACAAGCUAUGAUCGAAUGCUGUUAGUAGGAAACAUGAACACCUUAACCACGUGAUCAUGUACCAUAUCUCACGGUUUCUUUUUCCUCACAAGACCCAUCUAUUUCACUGGUUUAUCAGAUGGCGUUUCUGUAUAUGUGUAUGGCCAAUACACCUAUCUCUUCUUUAGAUACUUUAAAUUCCAUGUUUAUCUUUUCAAUCUAAUCUUUAAUCUUUAUGAGUACUCUUUCGUGGGUUCAAGAUCCUCGUUUAUAUCUUUAAACUCAAGUGCUACUACUUUAUGUAUCCUUAUACAAAUAUAACUCUCAUGUGUCGACACUUAUAUAUAUGUGUGGUUCCAUUGUGUUCCAGACAUGAUCUAAUCGAUUUGAGAUUUCAUUAUCCAGGACCUUUGUUACCUAGUAGCUUGGUGUCCCAAGCUACAUGGUUUGGUACCUUAGAUGUUUAGCUGCGCAACCUUUUCUCAAUGUCUGGUAUGGUUUCUAUUUUGACCUCGGAUCUAUAUUCUAUGCACCUUUUCUUUCCGAGGUUCCUUAUCUUAUGGAACACUGAUAUCUUGCAUAUUUCCAUUGUCUUAUCCAUUCACCCAUGUGCAUUUUGAUCAUAUAGACUAGGAUUUAGCCAUGUUUAGUUGCAUUUUGCAUACAUGAGUCCUUAUCAGGUAUUGGAGUACCACAAGGAGUUCUUGGAGACAUUUGGGUGUAUUUGGAGCUCAAAAGAGGUGAUAAAGGUGAUCAUUGGAUGAGCAGUGCAUGGGAGCGACCUCACCGGAGCGACACCGUGAAGUCGAUGUGACACCCUUUCAGAGCGACUUGACCAUAGCGACACUCCGAUGUUGCUUGCGUCACCAUCACCCGGAGCGACGUGACCGGAGCGACACAGCGAGGUCGCUUGCGAAGAGCGACCCGGAGCGACGUGACCGGAGCGACACAGCGAGGUCGCUCCCGAAGAGCGACCCAGAGCGACGUCUCGCAGCGACCCCUCCAGGUCGCUCCCGAAGCCUGGAGCGACUGCCCGGAGCGACUACUGGAGGUCGCUGUGCGCCUUCUGUUUGCUCGAAUUCAUUUCUACUCAAGGGCCUUUUGGUCAUUUCAUUAUGCACGUUUUUACUUCUGAAAACCUAUGUUUUAAGUUUUUUGGCAGCCACCAGACAGAUUAUCUUUGUUCUAAGAAAAACCUUUGGAAAGUCCUUCUCUUGAAUCAUCUUUGUUCAUCUAGUUAUUGCAAUUCUGUGUUUUCCAAUUCGUUGUUGUAUCCCUCUGUAUGAUUAAUCUGAAAUCCAAAAUGGGUUUAAGAGGAAUCAUGAAGAGUAGUGAGUAAUCACCAUUUGAAUUCAUGGGUUAGGAAGAUUAAGGGUGAUUAGGUUAGAGCUAGGAUGUUUUAGAGUAGAUCAUUCCAAAACCUUGCUAGUAGAGUAAUCAUAAUGCAUCUUCUGAGUUAGCUCCUCAAAAGUUGAUCCUUAGACAUUUCCCACCCAAAAGGUGUUCGAUGUAAUGCCUGAAACAACUCUUCUAAGCUUUUAGCAUAUUUUGCCAAAUACAUUUGUUGUUAGAAGUGCUAAGAUAGCCUUAGACCUGUUAGUAAUGAUUGCUACUAUAUUAUUCAACCAAAGACAUUUGUUAUGUUGAAAUGUGUUAGUAAAUGAACAUUCAUCUAGACAUAGAGUUUGUUUAGGAUCGUGUCUAAGCUUAAGGUUGAUAGUUUGAUUGUUCGUCUGCCAUCCUUAGUUCGAAACUUGAUCACCCAAGGUCUACUUCCUAUGCCCAUGAGUUCUCAUUUUCCUUAGUUAAGAAAGUCGACUCAUUUACCGUUUUUAUUAUUCUGAAACUGCAUUAGUAUUAUUCAUUAGUUUAGAAAACCCUUUAAAUCAUCGGUUGCACUUAGAUUAAGUAAGUACUUGCAUUCUCAGUGCUUGAAAUCCCUUAGAAUUGGUUCGACAAUCAUUUAUACUACAACAUUUGUCUUAAGAGCCUUGAAAACUCCUAACAUCAAAUUGGCGCCGUUGCCAAACUCUAAGUAGAUUUGAACAUUGAGAUUUAGUCAUUUGCUUGAGACUAAGUCAUUUUUAUUUUCUUUAGUUACUGAUUCUCUUUCUUCAACUCCCUUUAAUUUACAGGUGUAUGAACUUGAGGAGCAGUGGUCCAUCAAACCUAGUUCCAAGAGCCGCAUACAUCAGAGCUUUAGAGAGAGAGUGUGCUAGAAAGAGAAGAGAAGAAGAGCAACAGUCUCACUUGUAGAGAUUGGAUACUGAUAUGGGAGACAUACCUCAAAAUGAUGCCAACAACGUUCCACAAAACCAACAGCGAGCAGCUCGACCCAUUGGCACUUAUGACCACCCCAACAUUCAUGGUCAUAGAUUGGGAAUCCGAGCACCAGUUGUAGCAGCUAACAACUUUGAGAUCAAAUCAGGACUCCUCAACGUGAUCAAGAACAACAAGUAUCAUGGCUUGGCUUUAGAGGACCUAUUUGAUCACUUGGACAGGUUCGACAGCUACUGUGGGUUGUCAAAAACCAAUGGUAUGUCUGAGGAUGCCUUAAAGCUGAAGUUAUUCCCUUUCUCUCUGGGGGAUAAGGCACGACAGUGGGAGAAAUCUCUACCAAGUGACUCAAUCACCACUUGGGAUGACUGCAAAAAAGCUUUCUUGGAGAAGUUCUUCUCUACUUCAAGAACUGCUAAGCUGAGAAAUGAGAUCUCCAGUUUUCAACAGAAAGGCUUGGAAGGUUUCAGUGAAGCCUGGGAGAGAUUCAAAGGCUACCAAGCUCAAUGCCCACACCAUGGCUUCUCUAAGGAGAGCUUGCUGAGCACAUUCUACUGUGGUGCUCUUCCUAAGUACUGGGCCAGACUGGAUACAGCUAGCAAUGGGUUCUUCUUGGGGAGAACUGAAAAAGAUGCAGAAGAACUGGUUGACAACAUGGUAAAGAGUGAUGCAGUCUACAGUGGUGACCACGACAGAAGCAGUCGAACAGAUGACAAGCAGACGAGGAGGGAAUUAAAGGCUCUCCAGGAUAAGAUUGACAUUUUCAUUGCUGAUAAGGCCACCCAGGAGUAGCUGCACUUUGUUGGUAACCCAAACAAAGAAGCCACACCUGUUGUCCAGGAAGUUGAUGGUUUGGAAGGGCAAGAAGAGUUGUGCUUCAUCAACAAUAAUGGUAGCUGGUACAAGAAAGAGCCAAACUUUCAGUACAACAACAACCAACAUAGAUCUUACCCCAACAACCAACAGAGUGGUUAUCAGCCUCGGAACAACCAGCAAGGCAGCUAUCAGCCUCAACAAAACCCUCCUCCCAGUUUCAACAACAAAGGACAACAACCUGCCCAACAACAACCUACUACUUCUACCUCUACUCCUCCAGUCAGCAGCACUGAUGCCCUACUAAAACAAAUCUUGGAGUCUCAGACAAGAAGUGAGAAGCAUGUUGGUUAUGAGUUGAAAAACCUUCACGCAAAGAUUGAUGGAAGCUACAAUGAGCUCAACAACAAGUUCAGAACCUUGGAGAACCAGUUUGCUGCCAUGAACACUCAACAAAAUCGCCAACAAGGUUCUUUACCUGGAAAAUCUGAGCAAAACCACAAGGAGACCAUGAAAGCUAUCACCCUCAGGAGUGGUAAGGAGUUACCUCAGAAAGCUCUCACCAAGGAUGCUGAGAAACAAGGUGAGUGGGUUGCCAUCAACAUAGAUGAUGAAGUGGUGAUUGUUGAUGAGAAAAUCAGUGAUGAAAUCUUGGAGAAGAUUGUGGAAGCGAAAGGUAAAGGAAAGGUUGGAGAAGAGAAGAAAACAGUGAAAGAUGGUGAAGUUGUUGCUCCAGCAAGUGAGAAUUCUUUUGUUCCUCCUCCCUAUGAACCCAAACUACCAUUUCUUGGUAGAUUCAAGAGGCAGCUGCUAGAGAAGUACAAAGCUCUAUUUGAGAAGCAAAUGAGUGAAGUUCAAGUCACAAUGCCCAUCAUUGAUGCUUUCAUGCUAAUUCCUCAAUAUAGCAAGUUCCUGAAAGAUGUUGUAGCUGCUAAGAAGAAGGAGAUGGAGGGCAUGAUGAUUCUCACUCAUGAAUGCAGCGCCAUCAUCCAGAGGCUUGUUGUUCCAAAGAAGCUAGAAGAUCCAUGAUGCUUCUUACCUUGUGCUCUUGGUCCUAUGGUAUUUGAUAGAUGUCUCUGCGAUUUGGGAGCUAGUGUCAGCUUGAUGCCUUUAUCUGUUGCUAAGAAGCUUGGUUUCACUCAGUACAAGAAGUGUAGACUGUCUCUGGUAUUGGUUGAUCGUUCAGUGAAUUACCCGGUGGGUAUCUUAGAGGACCUCCCCAUUAUGGUUGGAAAAUAUGAGAUCCCUAAAGACUUUGUGGUGCUUGAGAUGGGUGAGGAAGGUGCAGAUCCUUUAAUCCUUGGAAGGCCUUUCUUAGCUACAGCAGGAGCAAUUGUUAAUGUGAAAGAGGGCAAGAUUGAUCUCCACUUGGGUAAAGGGCAUGUUCUUCAUUUUGACAUCAAGGAGGUAAUGAAGAAACCAACAUUUCAAGGGCAAGUUUUCUACAUUGAAGAGAUGGAUGCCCUUGCUGAUGAGCUCCUUGAAGAAUUGUCAAUAGAAGACCCUCUACAGCAUGCUUUGACGAUAGAGAGGCCAGCUGAAGUGAUUCAGAACCUGGAGAGUGCUGCUUAUGGGAUGAUGUUGGAUUCACACAGAGGAUUUGGUAGUAAGGAUCAGUAUGAGGAGCUGCCUCAAAUUGUCCAUCAGGAAGCCUCAGUCAUUCAACAAGGGGACACCCAGCAAAACGACUGGAGCGAGCUUAAGGCGCCUAAGGUGGAGCUUAAACCUCUCCCCAAUGGUGUAAGGUAUGCAUUUCUUGGUCCUAAUGGAACUUAUCCAGUCAUUGUGAGUAGUGAACUUACUGAAACUGGGCUAUCUGAACUUUUGAAAACACUUAAAAGAUUUAGAAAAGCAAUAGGUUUCUCACUUGAUGACAUCAAGGAAAUAUCACCCUCUUUGUGUAUGCAUAGGAUACAUCUUGAGGAUGAAUCAAUGACUUCUAUCGAGCAUCAAAGAAGGUUAAAUCCUAACCUGAAGGAUGUUGUAAAGAAAUAGAUUCUUAAACUCUUAGAUGCUGGUGUUAUCUACCCUAUCUCAGAUUCUAAAUGGGUAUCUACUGUGCAUGUUGUGCCAAAAAAGGGUGGUAUAACUGUGAUUAAAAAUGACAAGGAUGAAUUGAUACCAACAAGAACAGUCACUGGGCACAUGAUGUGUAUUGAUUACCGCAAACUGAACUCUGCAUCUAGAAAUGAUCAUUUUCCACUUCCAUUUAUUGAUCAGAUGCUUGAGAGACUUGCAAAUCAUCCAUUCUAUUAAAAUAUGCUAAAAGCUUAGAAGAGUUGUUUCAGGCAUUUCAUCGAACACCUUUUGGGUGGGAAAUGGGGAGAAAACAACAUUCACAUGUCCUUAUGGUACCUUCGCAUAUCGAAGAAUGACAUUUGGUCUAUGUAAUGCUCCAGCCACCUUUCAAAGGUGCAUGAUGUCGAUCUUUUCUGAUCUGAUUGAGGAUGUUGUGGAGGUGUUCAUGGAUGAUUUCUCUGUCUAUGGAUCUUCGUUUUCUGCUGUUUGUCAAAUUUGUGCAGGGUCCUACAGAGAUGUGAAGACACCAACCUUGUGCUGAACUGGGAGAAGUGUCACUUCAUGGUCAAAGAAGGGAUUGUGCUGGGCACAAGAUUUCAGAGAAGUGGAUUGAGGUGGAUAAGGCCAAAAUCGAUGUUAUGGUUGGUUUGCCCCCACCAAAGACAGUGAAAGACAUCCGAAGUUUUCUUGGUCAUGUUGGGUUUUACAGGAGAUUCAUAAAGAACUUCUCCAUGAUCACUAGACCAUUGACCAUGCUCUGUGCAAAGAAGCCACCUUCAGCUUUGAUGUGGAGUGUCUAGAAGCCAUCAAGAAGCUGAAAGGUGAACUCAUCAGUGCUCCAAUUGUCCAGCCACCUAAUUGGGAUCUCCCCUUUGAGAUCAUGUGUGAUGCUAGUGAUUAUGUUGUGGGAGCUGUUUUGGGGCAGAAGAAAGAUGGCAAGACCCAUGUUAUCUACUACGCGAGCCAAACCCUGAAUGAUGCUCAGAUGAGAUAUGCCACAACAGAGAAAGAGAUGCUAACCAUUGUCUUUGCCUUUGAGAAGUUCAGAAGCUACUUGGUGGGAUCUAAAGUCAUUGUCUACACAGAUCAUGCUGCGUUGAGACACCUUUUGGCGAAGAAGGAUGCAAAGCCCAGGCUCUUGAGAUGGAUUCCUUUGCUGCAAGAGUUUGAUUUAGAGAUCAAGGACAAGCCAGAAGUUGAGAAUGGUGUAGCCGAUCACUUGUCCAGGCUGAGAGUGGAGUGUGGCAUUCCCAUUGAUGAAGGACUCCCUGAGGAACAGAUCAUGGCUAUUGGAGCAGUGAUAGUAGUUUGUGAGACUGGAAGGAAGCUUGAAGAAGUCAAGGCAACAGAAGAGAAAGAACCUUGGUAUGCUGAUUUGGUGAAUUCCCUAGCCACAUGAAAAGAGCCUUUGAAUCUUGUGGGUUAUGCCAAGAAGAAGUUCUACAAGGAUGUGAAGAGAUACUACUGGGAUGAGCCCUACCUCUACAUUCUCUGCAAAGAUCAACUUUAUAGGAGAGUGGUUGUUAAUGAGGAGAUUGAUGGGAUCCUUACACAGUGUCAUGGAUCAUCUUAUGGAGGCCACUUUGCUACCUUCAAGACUGUUGCUAAGGUGUUACAAGCUGGAUUCUGGUGGCCACACAUGUUCAAGGACACACAAGACUUUGUUUCAAGGUGUGAUUCAUGCCAAAGGAGGGGAAACAUCACCAAGAGGAAUGAGAUGCCUCAGAAUCCAAUCCUUGAAGUUGAAGUGUUUGAUGCGUGGGGUAUUGACUUCAUGGGGCCAUUUCCAUCAUCACAUGGCAACAAGUACAUCCUGGUAGCUGUUGAUUAUGUCUCAAAAUGGGUGGAAGCUAUUGCAAGUCCCACCAAUGAUGCAAGAGUGGUAAUCAAGAUGUUCAAGAGCACCAUCUUUCCAAGGUUCGGAGUUCCAAGAGUUGUAAUCAGUGAUGGAGGGUCUCAUUUCAUCAACAAACUGCUUGAGGGACUUCUCAGGAAGAACGGUGUUAAGCACAAGGUUGCAACUCCUUACCAUCCUCAAACAAGUGGUCAAGUUGAGAUUUCUAACAAAGAGAUCAAGUCCAUUCUGGAGAAGAUUGUGGGGAUUACAAGGAAGGAUUGGUCAGUUAAGCUUGAUGAUGCGCUUUGGGCUUACAGGACAGCUUACAAGACACCUCUGGAGACCACACCUUUCAACCUAUUGUACGGGAAAGCUUGCCAUCUACCAGUGGAGCUUGAGUACAAGGCACUUUGGGCAGUAAAGUUACUGAACUUUGACAUCAAGAGUGCCAAGGAGAAAAGGCUUUUUCAGCUACAUGAGCUUAAUGAGAUAAGAAUGGAUGCCUUCGAAAACUCAAGGAUCUACAAGGAGAAGACAUCUUUCCAUGACAAGAAUAUCAUAAAGAGAGAGUUUAAAGAAGGAGAUCAAGUUCUUCUCUACAACUCAAGACUGAAGUUGUUUCCAGGAAAGCUUAAGUCAAGGUGGUCCGGCCCUUUCAAGGUCAAAGAGGUUAAGCCAUAUGGAGCAAUAGUUUUAUGGAGUACUGAUGGAAGAGAAUUCACAGUCAAUGGACAAAGGGUUAAGCUCUAUAUGGCUGAUGCACCUGAGGAAGAUGGAGUUUCACCUCCACUGUCUGAUCCUACCCCAGCCUAGUCCAAAAGGAGGCACAGUCAAGCUAGAGACUUAAAACAAACUCACUUGGGAGGAAGUCCCAUGCGUAUCCUUGUACAUAUUGCAUUGGUUUUUUCAUUUUCAUCAUAUUUCAUAAAAAAAAAAAGAGGGGAAAUUGUCAAGGCAAGGACUCGAGCGUGGGAGUGAGGUUCCGCAGCGACGCCACGAGGUCGCUUCAGCUGGGAGCGACGUGAUCAGAGCGUCUGCUCCAAGUCGCUCGCAUUUUCGGUGUCCGGAGCUCGAGAGUCGCUUUGGGAGCGACGUCUCGCAGCGACCACGUGAGGUCGCUCGCGUUUCUAUCGCUGGGAGCGACGUGAUCAGAGUGACUGGUCCAAGUCGCUCGCAUUUUCGGUGUUCGGAGCUCGAGAGUCGCUCUGGGAGCGACGUCUCGCAGCGACCACGUGAGAUCGCUCGCGUUUUCUGUCGCUGGGAGCGACGUGACGCAGCGACCACAUGAGGUCGCUCGCGUUUACUGCAACACGGAGCGACCUAUCAGAGCGACCACUCCAGGUCGCUCCCGAGCCGGUCCAGGUAAGUCCCUCUUCGAUUUUGUCCGGUUUAAUUCGAGUUAACCAGCCUUAAACCUAACCGGACGACCCUAGACCUACCCAUACCCACGACCUUCAUCUCUUUCACUCUCCCUUCCUCUCACAAACACUCAUACUCUCUCAAACAAAUCCACACCAAAAAUCUCCUAACAACACUCAUACUCGACCUUCAUCUCUUUCACUCUCCCUUCCUCUCACAAACACUCAUACUCUCUCAAACAAAUCCACACCAAAAAUCUCCUAACUUUCUCAAUUCUCACCCAAAUCUUUUAGUUCUUGUUUCUAAAUCAAAGCUUUCGCCCCAACAGUCUAUUCCUCACCACCCAUUCCCCAUUUCCUUCCAUCCAAAGUAAGGUAUUGUGUUUUUAAAUUCAAAUUCGUAGGUCCAUGAACCCUAGAAUUUGAAAAUCGAAAUUUGGUCAUUUUCUUGCUUGAUUGUGGUAAAAUUGACUAGGGAAAGCUUAUAUAUGUCAUUUUCUUGCUUGAACCCUAGAAUUUGAAAAUCGAAAUUUGGUCAUUUUCUUGCUUGAUUGUGGUAAAAUUGACUAGGGAAAGCUUAUAUAUCAAGUUGGGUUGUUGAAUUGAUGGUGGAACUGAGCUUAAUUUGAACUUUGGCAAAAUUAAGGUUCAUGGAUUUGAGGCUUUUCGAAAUUGAUCCUAAUUGAGCGUGUUAAUGGGUGAGUUAGUAUGUUAAGGUGUUGAAAGGUUUGAUUAGAGAACCCUCUCAUUCUAGAAUUACUUUGAUUAUUGAAUUUUACUUGUCUUGUAAUUUUCACAUGAUGAAAAGAUUGAGAAUUGUGAUUCUUUACGUUGCUUCUUGAAGUUUACAUUUGCAAAGUUAAUCGACUUAUCCUUUUCCAAGUCUUGUAUUUCUCAGGUACAAUGGUUAGGAAAACUAAAGGAAAGUCGGAUGCUGAGAGGCAAGAACCUGAAAGUCAAGAGUCUUCGUUGAGAGGAAAGGCUUUAGCCUCGGAACGAGUUGGUUCUGGGACACAAAGGACUUCUCGACAGAAAACCGUGGCUGCAAAGAAGGCAAAGGAGCAAGAGAAGAGGGCAGGAAAGAGUAUAGCAGUUGCCACAGAUGAGGAGAGUGGCGAUGAAAGUGCAGAUGAGCAGGCUCCUACAAAGAGGGUCAAGAUGUCCAAGGGGAAAGAGGUUGCUGAGGAUAGAGACAUGGCAAAAACUCCAUCUGAGGAAGAGAUGUAUCACCAUUUGUUGAAUGGGCUAACUUGGACUCCGACCAGAUUCGCUGACCUUGAUUUGCUGAAGGAGGUGGGUCUCGAUUCUGAUAUUGAGGCAAUGUUGGGGCACCUGAAGAUGCCCAAACCCCCCACCAUGGCCUACCCCACCUACCGGGAUGUCUCCUAUCAGUUCUUGUCUUCCCUUGAGGUCACUUACCAUGACGAUCCGCACGUGAGGCAAGGAUGGGAAAAAUAAAGUUCAAGGUCAAUGGGAGAGAGUACAACAUGAACUUCAAAGACAUUGGGAGAGUCAUGGGUUUCCAAGACUUGGCAGACUACUCCCUUCCCAAGUGUGAAAACCUCCCCACUCAGCUUUGGAAGUUAAUCACUGGAAACAAGCACUCUACCGGGGCUGACAAGAACUCACAUAUCCGGCACCCGUCUGUACGCUACCUCCAUAGGAUGCUCGUCCAUGCAUUCUACCCACGGAAGCAAGCUGGUAGUGUCACCGAGGAAGACAUGCGACUGCUCUGCCCGGCUAUCCGCCCUUACGCCCCACCUGGAUCGUUGCCCCUUCCAAGCAACGACAUCUAUGCUUCCUUCGGGAUGGUCAGCUUCUUCGUGAAUCGUCUCGAGCACUACAUAGACUGGGCAUGGUACACAACUGAUUCGUAACCAAAGGUUGGGAUAGGCGGGAUGAUCACGCCACUGCUCCAAUUUCAGAAUGUUCCCUUGGGAAAGGACGCAGCAAGGCCUAAGUUAAUCGAUGGCACUUACUUGAGGAUUGCCACCUCUUUCAGUGGGAUGUAUGGGAAGGACUACGUCUACCACUACUACUUGCAGGGCAAGCCGGUCGAAGUGGUUCUUCCAAACCAGAGACUGACGAGCUUAGAGAGACCUGGAGCUAUCAGCUUCAACUUAUCCCAAGAAGACUUUCUUGGAGAACACGGGUCUCUCGGUCCCAUUGUUGCACCAAGGAAAAGGAGUGUUCCGACGAGACACGACUUCACAGAACCUCCUAGGGAAGAAUAUGUACCCAUCUAUGAACCUCCACGCUACUACUUCAAGCCACAUGAUGGAGUCCUUCCCCCUGGUGCGCUUCGUGAUGCUCAUGACCACAUUAGCCGACUUCAGCGAUGGAACAAGGCACAAGACAGAACAAUCGAAACGCUGAAGGACAAGUGCAAGGCGCUGAGUAAGACGGUGAAGAAGCAAGCAAAGACUUCAGCCAAGUUCAUGAAGAAGGUGGCCGAUGUUUUGACCAGAGGAGGAAUAGCUGGAUGUAGCUCAGUGGACUUCGCCUUCGCGAACACAUCAGUCCCCCAGCCCCCACCUCAGCCCACUGAUCUUGGUUUCCCACUCACUGAUAGACAGCUCCAGCGACAAUGGAGGAACACACCCACUCAGCCUUCCGCCUCUGGAAACAAGUCUCCAUCCCUAGCCUCUUCAGAAAGUGAAGCUGAGAUUGAAGAAGCUCAGAGCCAAAAAUGGUAUGCUGAGAUUGAAGAAGCUCAGAGCCAAAAAUGGUAUGGAGACUACAGCUCAGGAGAUGGAGGCUACUACACCACGUUCCCACCGGACGACGAUGAUGCUGGGGCAUCUACCCCCACUUACUAUCCUUGAAGGUACUUCUCUACUUUCCCCUGUAUAUACCAUUUCGUUUUUGCAUAUUAGUUUUUUCUUUUUGGGUAUCUCCCUCUCCUUGACAACACAGAAACUGUGUCAUUUAAGUUUGGGGGAGGUACCAAGUAUUUGAUCAUGUUUGCUUUGAUGUUGUUUCAUUGAGUCAUGCAUUGCAUAUCAAUUUGCAUAUUAAAAAAAAAUAUAUAUAUCAUUUAGUUUGCAUCAUUUGCACUUCUAGGAGAGUUUAGAGCAUAUAGGUUGCAUUCACUUGCAUUGGGAGCAAUGAUUUUAAAUGCCUUACUUUGCACCUGAGUAGCUUAUGCACCUCUCAAAAGGACUUGUAUGCUUCGAGCCUUGAAAACUCUUCCUGAAACUUGUUGAUUGCUGAAACUCAGUUUUUGAAGCCAACUACAACCUUAUUUGAACUGAACAAACUUAAUGCAUCUUGCUCAUGGUCCCUUGUGUACUGAAUCAUGGAUAUACACACUUGAGUUGUCACAUCCUUUAUGCCAAUUUUUUUGACAACCUCUAGUGGUAGACCUCUCCCCAAAAUUUAUUCCUCUGUUUAAGCCUUCAUUGAUUGAUGAGUGAGACCUUUUUCGGAAAGUCUUACAUGCACAUAAUGUUGAGAGUAUCGGGAACGACAAUGCUUGAUCUUCAUUCUUGCUAGAUUAGGCACAUUAUUGUCUAGCCAUAGGAUGGGGGUGAGUGUUGUGAAGUUUUAUUUGGGAGUAUGAGAAAGUUGAAGGAAAAGAGUGAACUCUUGUGUUUAAUUGACUAGUCUUUAUGGGAUAAGUAGAGAAACUUCUAGCUCGAUUUGUGAAAAGUCUUGGCCCCCAAACAAAAACAAAAAAAAAGAAAAAAAAGAAAAGAAUAAAAAAAAAAAAAAAAAAAGGGGCUAGCAAAGUUGUUUAGAGCUAAGAUUUGUUUAGAAGUUGUUUAGAAGCCCAUCACAAAUCCGGAGCGACUACUGGAGGUCGCUGCGCGCCUUCUGUUUGCUCGAAUUCAUUUCUACUCAAUUGCCUUUUGGUCAUUUCAUUAUGCACGUUUUUACUUCUGAAAACCUAUGUUUUAAGUUUUUUGGCAGCCACCAGACAGAUUAUCUUUGUUCUAAGAAAAACCUUUGGAAAGUUCAUCUCUUGAAUCAUCUUUGUUCAUCUAGCUAUUGCAAUUCUGUGUUUUCCAAUUCGUUGUUGUAUCCCUCUGUAUGAUUAAUCUCAAAUCCAAAAUGGGUUUAAGAGGAAUCAUGAAGAGUAGUGAGUAAUCACCAUUUGAAUUCAUGGGUUAUGAAGAUUAAGGGUGAUUAGGUUAGAACUAGGAUGUUUUAGAGUAGAUCAUUCCAAAACCUUGCUUGUAGAGUAAUCAUAAUGCAUCUUCUGAGUUAGCUCCUCAAAAGUUGAUCCUUAGACAUUUCCCACCCAAAAGGUGUUCGAUGUAAUGCCUGAAACAACUCUUCUAAGCUUUUAGCAUAUUUUGCCAAAUACAUUUGUUGUUAGAAGUGCUAAGAUAGCCUUAGACCUGUUAGUAAUGAUUGCUACUAUAUUAUUCAACCAAAGACAUUUGUUGUUUGAAAUGUGUUAGUAAAUGAACAUUCAUCUAGACAUAGAGUUUGUUUAGGAUCGUGUCUAAGCUUAAGGUUGAUAGUUUGAUUGUUCGUCUGCCAUCCUUAGUUCGAAACUUGAUCACCCAAGGUCUACUUCCUAUGCCCAUGAGUUCUCAUUUUCCUUAGUUAAGAAAGUCGACUCAUUUACCGUUUUUAUUAUUCUGAAACUGCAUUAGUAUUAUUCAUUAGUUUAGAAAACCCUUUAAAUCAUUGGUUGCACUUAGAUUAAGUAAGUACUUGCAUUCUCAGUGCUUGAAAUCUCUUAGAAUUGGUUCGGCAAUCAUUUAUACUACAACAUUUGUCUUAGGAGCCUUGAAAACUCCUAACAUCAAACACUUUGGUCUAUCUUGUAUAGACUCUGUAGCAACUUGACUGUGUCUCUAGGACAUCAGAUUUCGUUUGGUGCUAAGCUGGUUAUGACUUAGUCAUUUUUUCUUUUCUUUUCGGGUCAGUGUCUGGCAUCUAGAUUAGCUAGCUUUGUAUAAUCUUUCUUUGGACGUCUUAAAUAAUACUUUUAGUUCGAGGAUCUUGCCAAGACAAUGAUGGUUGAUACCAUUCUAUAUCUCUUAUCAUUCUUUUGAUCUUUACCAACUUAUAACUUUCUCCUUCUAAUGUUAGAUAGUCGGAUUCAUUAGUCAUGCAAUCCGUGCACCUGGCCUCAAUCUGAUCACCCAUAUUUGGCUCAAGGUCUCUUAAAACUCGUGGGAGAAAGACAUACUUUUAUCCAACAUAUAUUCCCAAUCCUCUUCUGAGGUUCCAUCUUAGACGGCACAUAUGUCCGUGGUGGUUUAUUAAAUAGUCUCUUAGGAUGGUAUAUGUCUGGCUCAUGACCCGUAUUCAAUCUGAGAUGGGAAUAUCUAUGCUCACUUAUAUGGCCUGAUGCAUAUUAACCUUAUAUACAUGUAAAACUCGUGAUGUCCCUAAGCUUUAUAGACUUUAGAGUCUAAGCCUUAUAGAUAAUGGUUUAUACGGCUGAACCUUUGUAGGUAAUGGCCUUUGCGGCCGAGCCGUUUAUAGCAUGGUCAUAGACCAUAGUAGUACACGAAUUUGUAGUAUUGAUCAUGUGUGAUCAUGGAUCACGGGUUUAUCCUCUCUCCCCCUCAUGAACAUACUAUAAUUUUGUGAUGCUUAGGACAAUAAAGCCUCAUGAGUUUCCCUUGUGUACAUGUUACACAACGUGAGAUCUUAUGGGAUAACUCUGUGUGCCUAUUCAAUAUCAAUCUUUGCAUCAAGUUUAGACCAGGAUGAUUAAUCCGGUCAUGCCAUAUAGUGUAUAAUUUUCGUGGGGUAUACCAAUCUGGUUACCAUGGCUUUUGCCUUUAUCAUACUGAUCUUUGCAUAGUCUAGAUCAGUAGAGAAUGCAUGUAUAGUUUUGAUCGCUCUUUAUUUCCUUUGCCCAUUGUUUCUAUAUGGAAACCAUUAUCAUAUAUCUUAUAAACUCAAUGGGCUUCUAUGGGUGGAUAUAGAGCAUUAGGUCUUUUAUGCGUGCUCUUUUUAGGCACCAAUGUACUUAGCCUCUUUAGGCGCCAAUGUACUAAGUCUAGAUGUAGCCCUUUAGGCAAUUCUAUACUGGUCGCAUGCCCUUAUCUGACUGACUAUACCCGCAACAUUGCCUUAUAUAUUGGCGUUUUCUUAGUCAUAUCUAAAAUCAUUCAUUCAUCUUAUAAUAUAAGUUCUUAGUUCAAGAAAAUCACAAACAUAAAGCAAAGCAAACACAGAAAUCGAAAUCAACAUUAUUCUUCUUAGACAAUCAGAUGUUUUAGCCUAAUGAUUCCCCAUUACAUAUCUUAUGGCACACUGACUUGGUCGAGUGUGGUGGCUUAGAAAUGCCACGGCCUCCGAUCCUCUCCCUUAACCAUGGCCAAAACUGGGUCCACAACCACAGUUAUAGUGAUUCAUAUGUCCAUGGUUGUAUAAGGUAGUUUGGCUAUGCCCACGUCCUUUCCAUCCAUCACGGUUAUAGCCGUAUGGUUUAUCAUGAUGGACGUGGCUGCUUUUUUUAGAUUUUUUUUUUCCUCUGCAGCCUCAUUGGCUUCAUGUAAUGGGGUUGGCGAGUAAUCAUUAUUGCCCUGUAUCUAUUACUUUCACUUGCUUUAUUGUCCUCGAUGAUACAUUCACCGAGGCCCUUUGAUUUCAGGACAAUCUCUGUGUCUAAUGCCCAUUGUAAAUAAUUAUCUCCAAAGAGAUUUAGGGCAGCGUAAUCUAGAUUGCUGAUUUUCGACAUCUGUAAUCAUAUAUCACUCAAUCUUUAUAAGAAAAUAAAUCAUGUGACCAAGUAAACAAUCGAGUUAAUGGAUUUCUAAUAAACAAGCCACACGGCUAUAGGGGUGAUAUGCAAUGAGGUCACACGGCCUAGGUGAUGUAUGAUGCGGCCAAGCAAGCAAUCAAGUAAUGAUCAAUGCAUCAGUAAGUAAGCCACACGGCUAUGCGGGUUUAAUGCAAUACAAUCAAGGCCACACGGCCAUACAGUCAUGAUGCAAGAAAAGAGGCCACACGGCUAGAUAGAUAUAUGAUGCAUACGAUCCUAGCUUUCGGAUUCUAUAUGUGAUCAAGGUGAUAUGAUGUAUGCAAGCCACACGGCUAUGAUAGUAAGGUGCAAUAAAGGCCACACGGCCAAGCUAUGAUGCAAACAAUCUAUGUUGAUCCAAUUAGGGUUUUAUCAUCUUAGCAAUACGAAAUGUGGCUAGGAUUUCAGAUUUUAUGAGAAUCAAAAUAAUCUAGCACCUUAGCUUUCAAGACAUCAAUUAGAUCAGUCAAAAUAACAAGAAUCAAACCUAAACUCAAUUUGGAUCAAUAUCAUAAGAUUUAGGGUUUCAAGGCCCGUAGGGAUUCAAAUUCGAGAUUUAGGGUUUCAGAUUCAAUAUGCAAUCAAUCUAGCUGACUUAACUCACAAUCAAUAGAAUCAAUCAAGCAAGCAAGCCUUAUGGCUAAGGUUUAUGCCUCACGGCCAAGAAGAAGCCACACGGCCAUGAGGAAGCCACACGGCCAAAACAGGAAAACAAGCCGCACGGCUAAUGAUUCAAUUCAAGAUCAAUGCAUAUAGUUUGUUGUGUAAUUGCAAUCCUAGCAUAGAUGCAUUCUAUCAGUUUAUACAAUGUACUCAACACAAGCAAGCUAAUCGGCCAAGCAAAGAACAAUCAUACUUGAUUUCAAUUUCAAUUUCAAUACCAUUCUAACAUGAGAUUCUAAGUGCAAUUGCAAUCAAUCAAUGUGAUUAGGUUUAGGUAUGAAUACAACAAGGCCACAAAUAUGAUUAUGUCUAGAAUAGUUUAACCUAAUCCUAUAGUUUCAGAUUUCAAUUUCAAACAAUCUAAACUAGAUCAUUAGGAUUUUAGUUUAAACAUGCCAAUCAAUUCAGAUUUCAAGAUUCAAGUUUAAACAAUCAUAAUCAUAGUUCUAGGUGAUCAAUCAAUCAAACAAAGUUUCAAAUUCCAAACAAUUAAAAUCGAUUUUUCAAAUUAGGGUUUUGGGAAUUUGAUUUGAUCUUAGAUCAAGGGAGUUUAAUUUUGAGAUUCAAAAACCUUCAAGGUUCUGAUUUUAAUUGAUCAAUGGAUCAAAUCUCGAUUUUAGGGUUUGGAUCGAACUUAUAGAGCUUCGAUUUACUCAUAGGGUAUUGAUCUAUUAUCCUAUGACUUUCAUCUUUUUAGAGAUUAUAUUUUAGGGUUUCAAUCUUUACAAAACAACCAGAUUCAAUUCAUGUUUUCAGAUUUCGAAUUACCUUUAGGGUUUUGAAGAUUGUAGAACCGGACCACCAAGAGAACCUCGAGCUGGACGAUCAGACGUGAGCUAAAACAAGCUGGAACGCGAGCUGGAACGAAACGCGUCUGAUCGGGAACGCGAGUUGUAGCUGUCCUGGAUGCAAGCUGAGAACAGAUGGAGUUGAGGCUGAGUUCGUCUAGUAUCAGGAAAGCCUUAGGGUUGGGGCUGAUCGGAUGAACACGAGCUGGAACGCUUGCAAGAACAGAUUAGGGUUUCAAAGCAAAUCGGCGCGCACUGUAUCGGUGCGUGAGGGCGCGUCAGUGGUCAGAUCGACAAACGGUUUGCACUGACUGAUUCGUCUCGGCAAGAGCUUCGAUUUGAUAUCUUGAUCAUUUUCUGGGUCCUUACAGUUUGGUAGAACGACCUUUUUGAAGUUCUGGGGCAGAUUCCUCUUCGUUUAGGGUUUAUAGAGUUUUUAGUGAUUUUGGUUUUAGGCUCAGGGUGUUAGAGGCUAUCGUGCUGAUAACGUGUUGUAAAACGAUGGUUUGAGAACUGAAUGUUUCUAUCUAUCAUUAAUGAAUAAGUGUUCCCUUAUAUAGGGGAUUACAAGAUAAGUAAAAGAAAAGUACCCAAAACCUAAACUCACUAGGAUUAGAAAAACUAGUAAUACAUAAUAAUGGAAAUAUAACAAUUACAAGGAAAAAGAAAGAUGAUUUUCUUUUCUCUAAGCCGCCUCUCUCUCUCUCUAAAUCGUGGCCGACUCUCUCUCUAGGUGUAUGGGCCGGUUAUAGACAUCCACUAAUUGAUUUAUAACACUUUGUAUAUUUUUUGUGCAAAUCAAUGUUAAGAUUGACAAAAAUAUUUUAAAACGAACCAGUUCCCAUUGCGUAUUGGGCCUUAAAUACUCCAUUGAAGUUAAGGGAAGAGCUUCGUUGCAACCUGAUGGGUUUAAAUAGAAAAGAGUAAAAGACCAAUGGGCUUUACUCACAUGUAAAUUGGCCUUCAUCGGACACGAAAAGUAGUUUCAUUUCAGAAAACUAUCCGGUUUAUCAAACAUCGCCUGAACAAAUUUCUGACUCAAACCAAACCGGGAAAAGUCUUAAACAUUUCAUUUCAAUUAAACCGGAUUCACUGUAAAUCCAUUAUCGUCGUCAUCAUCAUCCAAAGCCCUAAAUCCUUCAAAGCAGCCACAACCAUGGCGUCUCUUCUCGCCAGACGUCAACGAAGGCUCCAAUCAAACCCAUCUCUCACUCGUUUCUUCUCCAACUCCUCAUCAGACCCACCUCCCCAAUCCGCUGAAAAACCCUCCCAGUCACCGCCACCACCGUCUUCUCAGUCUCCAUCGUCGUACUCUUCUCCCUUCGCCGACAUCAAGUCCACUCUGAAGCAGAAAAUACAGCAGGAGCAAGAGAGAAAGCCAUUCGCUGGAUCCUCCGACGCCCAAGCUCCGAAUCGCGGAUCGAGUAGUACAUUCUCCGAUCACAAGUCACGCGGGUCUCUAGAGGAUCUGGGAAUCAACCUCGCCAAGUUCCAGCGUAGAUCCACCGCCGCUCCACCUCCGAGGGAUUCGUCGCAGUCUCGGCCGCACAUUUCAUUCGAGGCGCUCUAUAAGCAGAACGUGGUAGCGGAUCCUCCGAAUCGCAAAGGGGAGGAGAUCGAUUCGAGUAACUUAUGGGAAAAUUUGAAGACUUUGAAGUCAAAGUCCAAUGCUUUGAACAACGGGGAGAUGAAAGGAGUGUCCUUUCGAAGUUUCAAGAGCACUUUGAAGGGAAACGCCGGAAGAGGAGGAGAAGCUUUGCCGGCGUCUGUGUUCGGGAAAGACAUGGAAGGUGAAACAGAGGAGAUGACGACGGAGUUUCUAAAGAUUUACAGGGAAGAUGAGUUGGGUGAGAAGCUAAGGAGGCUUAGGCCAGAGGGGAAGAAGGAAGAAGGGUGGUUCUCGUUGCAGGAGUUGAAUGAGAGGUUGGUUAAGCUAAGGCAAGUGGAGGAGAAAGAGGUUUAUAAUCAGCGUGGGAACGUGUCUGUAAUCAGAAAUGUUAUUGGAACAUUUCGGAAUGAGGCAGCCAUCAAUGAAGCUAUUUCCCGUACGUUCUAAGCUUCUGAUGACUCUCUGUGAGCUUCGUUAUUGGUUUGAUUUUGUUGUCUGUAGCGAUGUGUUGCUGUUGAAAUGACAUUUUAUGUCGUCUGAGGACUAAGGAGGUUUAUGUGCUUGCAGAGCAGAAUCAGGACAUUAUGGGAUAUUUGGAUGGUACCCCUGAAUACAAGCUUUAUCCUCCAAAAGAUGAUCUUGUCGAUACUGUAAGUUUUUUUUUUUGCUCUUGGACCUUUAAGCUAGUAGUGUGUCAAUCUAAAGGCUUCUUUGGUCUUUGAUGGUUUUAUACAAUGAUCUGUUGAUCUGUUGUGGCCGUUAAAUAAACUAUGGGUAUUGAUCUGUUUUUAUGUGACUUCUUCAACGAAGUACUUCCACACAGAUAAUCUGUCAUCUGCGGAGAAGAUGAAAAUCGAGCUCACGAAAGUCAGGGAAGAUUUCAAGAUGUCGGAAUCUGAUUGUGGCUCUGCACGAGUGCAAGGUAAUUUCUAUGUAUACUGAUCAGUGUUGGCUUCAGCUAUAAGCUAUCAGAAGGAUCACAUUUCCUAAGACGUCUUUCGGUUAGAUUGCCUUUGAUGUCUUUGGUUUCUUCUCUGUAGUUGCGCAGCUCACUACUAAAAUCAAGCAUCUAUCCUCUGCACUGCACAAAAAGGUAAAACUUCCAGUUUAUAUCGAUAUUCUUUAUGUACCCCCUAAUGCCUUACCCUGUGGCUGUAUAACCGCAGGACAAGCACUCUCGGAAGGGACUUUUUGCUAUGGUGCAGAAACGGAAGAAGCUGCUGAAGUAUCUAAGACGAACUGACUGGGAUUCAUACUGCCUUGUCCUGUCAAAACUCAGCCUUCGUGACAACCCGGAUUACAAGUUCUAAGCUUUAUGCACUAGGAACCCCAUGGUUCUUCUAUCUCUGCACACUUUUGGUUUAGGCAACACUCUGUUGUGAGUGAGAUUUAGCUGUUCAAGCCCUGUUAGGCAUUCUACUCUCUAGGGAAGAAACUCUCGCUCAGCUCUAUUUUGUUUCACUCUGAGCUCUUCAGUCAUGCAUCUGCUGCAACAAAAUGAAGUUAAUGUAUCUCUUUCCUAGAUGUUUAAUAAUAGGGUAUUAUUCCCUCCCAUAAUCUGGAUUGUGGUAAUAAAAGUUAAUACGAACAUGCCUUUUCAUUAUUUCAUUUUACCUUAAGCAAAGUUCAUUACUUGGUGAUAUUUUUAAAGCAGUGAUAUGAUCUCGACUCGAAAUGUCACAUUGAAGAAGAGGGAGCAAGGAGAGGUUAUAUCUACAGACUCAAAAACAUCAUUAUUCUUACAAACCAAGGGCACCUAGAGGCGUUUUCCCCUGACCAGCCUCAAAGUAAAAGAUCAACAUUGCAAGCAUAGCGAGCCUCGAGUGCUUAAUCUCCGCAAGCUUCAACCGCUCCAGCUUCUCCCUGUCUGGCUCGUACACACCGUCGCGUGACUUCCCGGCGAGACCCAACGGAUCAAAGAAUCUUCCACCAGGAUAUCCUUGAUCACCAGUGUAGUUAGCGAAAUUCUCAGCGGUCCUCGACCACGGGGUCGCCCACUCAACAGACUGAGAAUCCGGGUUGAAGAAGUCCACCCACCGUUUGCUCUCCACCCAGCCCAUGAGAAGCAGCUGGGUCCCAAGAAGCGAUCCGAAAGAGAACGGCGCGAUGGCGCGUGGAUCAGCUCCAGCUUCGAACCAUGGCACGCCACUCCAUGCCUGGCCUACGAAGAUUCCAAGAACAGCUGCCAUCGCCCAUCGGCCGUGGAUCAGCUCUGCCUCUCUGUACCAUUUCAGAAAAGCCGGGUCCUUUCCCAAACCCAAUGGGUCGAACCCGAAAUCUCCGGGUAGCCUGUCAAAACCAUUCACGUAGGACUUAGAAAGAUUCAACGUACAAAUGAUCGUUCAAGAAAAUCAGAAUCAUCAUUGUUCCAUUGUUCAUGCUAAUAAGUAAUAACAGAGAGUUUUGAGUGAAUAGACUUACGAGCCGUCGAGCCAUUCAGGGUCAAGGAAGUUGCCGCCACCUUUAACGGCGGGGGUCCACGAUUUCUUGGGCUGAGCAGCCGCAGCAGCAACAAUCAGAGUUUUCCGACCAACUCUCGGAGCUCCAGCGUUUCCCAACGCGGCGGCACUCCUCUUGCCUCCGGCGAGGAACGAAGAACCAAGCCCGCUGAGCACAGCUCCCGAGACAGCCAUCGCCAUGAGAACUCUAAUAAGUGAGUGUUGUGUUCUCUCUUUCUCGAAAAAAGGAAUCGAAGAGGGGAGAUUUAGAGGGACAAUGAGGAGAUGAUGAGAAUCUAUAGACGAAAUCUCAGAGGCUGUCGUGGAUAGAUAUCUAACCAAUCAGAACUCAGAACCAACUUCACCAUAUCCACAUCACUCACCCUUGUCUCGUACUUGCCAACUCAGUAUAUUUGUAUAUUCUGUUUUUUUUUUUUAAUCUAAAAUGACACGUGGACAACUCUGGUUAUGGUUAUUAACUUGUUGAAAAUGCAAAUUACAGCCAUAUGAAUAUGUACGAGGUGGCAUUGCUCGCUUAUUACGUUUAGGUUACGUUACAUAUUUAUCAUUUAAAAAAGGAGAAAUUUGAAAAAUACAGGAAAUCAGCGAUUAAAUGGCGGGGAAUCCCAAGAGGGUGCAGGAAGCUGAACCACCGGUUGAUUUGAACCCAUGUCCGGGUUUGGAUAUGGAUUUUCCGGUAUUGUUGGGAUGGACGUAACCGGUGGUUGCUCCGGCGGUAGCCAUGGAUUCGUUACCUCCGGUGGCGUGGUAAAGACGGGAGUUUGCGGUGGGAAAUCUCCUAGCACUGGUGGUGUGGAGAAUACUGGAACUGUCGGUGGAUCUUGCACGAUCGGAGGUGUUGUGAAAACCGGCGGGGGUAGAAUGGGCGGAAAAUCUUCAACCGGUGGAGGCAAAAUAGGCGGCAACUCUUGAACCGGUGGAGGUAAAAUGGAAGGGAGGUCUGGAACCGGUGGAGGAAUAACUGGCGGGAAAUCUUCAACUGGUGGAGGCAGAAUCACGGGAAGUACUACUGGCGAUGGUGUUGAUUGGUCAAUUGGUGGCUCGGUUGUUUCAUCAGGUGGUGGAAACUCUGGAGUAGUUUGGUCAGGUGGUAUUAUCGGAGGUAGGUCUUGAACCGGUGGAGGAAUAACUGGCGGGAAAUCUUCAACUGGUGGAGGCAAAAUCUCGGGAAGGAUAGGUGGCGGUGGUGUUGACUGGUCAAUUGGUGGCUCGAUUGUUUCAUCAGGUGGUGGAAACUCUGGAGUUGUUUGGUCAGGCGGCGAUGGGAUCAGUGGAAAAUUGUCUACUGGUGGUGGUGGGAGAAGUGAAGGGGUAUCUGGUGCGGGUGGUGGAGUUCCAGUGGUUAUAUCCGGCGGCAGAAAUUGUGAAGUUGGUGGUGUUAAUGUAGAACGAUCUAAUGGCGGAGGAAGGAUGAUAACAGAUGAUGGGGGUGGUGAUCCGUUGGUUGUAUCAGGUGGUGAAAACCAUGUCACUGGUGGCAUUGGAGGGAGGUCGGCAACCAACGGCGGAGGAGGUGUAUCAUUAGUCUCUGGGACUCCUACUCCUAAAAUAGGAGGCGGAGAAGGUGAUUUGGUUGUUCCUGGAUUUCCGCUUCCUAAAAGAGGAGGUGAACUAGUGAUUCCUGGAGUGCCUCCGUCUAAAAGAGGAGGAGGUGAACCGGUGAUUCCUGGAAAGCCGCCGCCAAAUAAAGGAGGAAGAGUUGAACUUAUGGUUCCCGGAGUGCCACCGCCUAAUAGAGGAGGAGGUGAAGCUGUGAUUCCCAGAGCUCCACCACCUAAAAGAGGAGGUGGUGAACUAAUGAUUCCCGGAGCUCCACCACCUAAAAGAGGUGGUGUCAUCGUAAAUGGUGGCGGAGAAACUGAGCCGCCAAGUAGUGUUGGUGGUGGAGAUAAGACUAAUGGAAGGGGUGGUGAUGGAAGAGAAGAAGAUAAUGGUGGUGGAAGAGGAGCAGAAGGUGGCGGGAGGGGUAGAACCGGAGUAGGUGGAGAUAGGAUUGGAACCGGAGAAGGCGUUGCUGAUGGUGUUGGUGGUGGUAGCACUGGAGUAGGUGGAGGUAGGAUUGGAACCGGAGAAGGCGUUGCCGAUGGUGUUGGUGGUGGCUGAGUUGGAAAUAAAGGUGGUAAUGGAGGGAGUAUAAUCGGUGUAGGGACAAAUGGGAUAACGGGUGCUACUGGUGUCGGUGGGCAAGGUACUGGUGCAGGUGGAGCCGGUGCCGUGGUGCAAACAACACAAGGCUGAGCAGGAGGCGGUGCCGGGGCUGAGACACAAGUAAUGCAAGGCGCCGGGGGUGGAGACAGUGUCGGGGUUGUGACGCAAGUAAUGCAAGGCACGGGAGGAGGAGGCGAUGGUGGUGGCAAUGGUGGAGGUGGGCAAGGAACGGGGAUUGGCGGUGGUGGUGGUGAUGGUGA
rnacentral:lncRNA from 1 species